AUUGCCUCUCAGCCUUUGGCUAAGAUCAAGUGUAGUGUUCUUAUCACUUUAAUAUCUGCUGAGGACAGUAUAUUAAAUGGAUUUUUGGAGCAGGGAGAUGGAAUAGGACCUUGCUCCUUCCACUCCGUGCAUCCACCUGGUAUUCCUGGAGGCAGUACCUCCAGGAAUAGUGCACCCCCU
ensembl:snRNA U2 U2 spliceosomal RNA